UAGGGAAUCUUCGGCAAUGGGGGGAACCCUGACCGAGCAACGCCGCGUGAGUGAAGAAGGUUUUCGGAUCGUAAAGCUCUGUUGUUAAGGAAGAACGAGUGUGAGAAUGGAAAGUUCAUGCUGUGACGGUACUUAACCAGAAAGGGACGGCUAACUACGUGCCAGCAGCCGCGGUAAUACGUAGGUCCCGAGCGUUGUCCGGAUUUCUUGGGCGUAAAGCGAGCGCAGGCGGUUAGAAAAGUCUGAAGUGAAAGGCAGUGGCUCAACCAUUGUAGGCUUUGGAAACUGUUUAACUUGAGUGCAGAAGGGGAGAGUGGAAUUCCAUGUGUAGCGGUGAAAUGCGUAGAUAUAUGGAGGAACACCGGUGGCGAAAGCGGCUCUCUGGUCUGUAACUGACGCUGAGGCUCGAAAGCGUGGGGAGCGAACAGG
rnacentral:rRNA from 1 species